GCCCCGGCGGGUGAGCAGACAAGCCUCUCGGCCUGAGCCUCGUCUGCAGCACCUGAACCUGAUUUGGAUGAUGGGAUACUGGACCUUGAGUGUGAGAUGGAUGCUAUCCAGAUGAGAUAUUUGGGAGUUCAAGGAGCGGAUGCCUGGGACCCUGGAAUCCUCUCUGCAAUUGGAGCCUUCCCCAAAAACCCCCUCCAUAAGUGUAUGCAGCUGAUACCCGCGGGCUGGCCAAGGAGGGGCUGUUUGCCACAGGUACGGACAGAGUGUGGAUGCGGGGGGCAGGGUGGG